rnacentral:rRNA from 1 species
UACGUAGGGCGCAAGCGUUGUUCGGAUUUACUGGGCGUAAAGGGCGCGUAGGCGGCUUAACAAGUCACUUGUGAAAUCUCCGGGCUUAACUCGGAACGGCCAAGUGAAACUGUUAUGCUAGAGUGCAGAAGGGGCAAUCGGAAUUCUUGGUGUAGCGGUGAAAUGCGUAGAUAUCAAGAGGAACACCUGAGGUGAAGACGGGUUGCUGGGCUGACACUGACGCUGAUGCGCGAAAGCCAGGGGAGCAAACGGG